AGCUUUGUGCAGUGGCAAUGUCAUAGCCCAUGAGGGUUACCGAGGCACAAUUAAUGCUAAUUGAAAAAAAAACCCAAAAUAUAAAAUCUUAAUCUCCACAACACACUUUUUAUUAAGUGUGUAUAUCUAUUUUAUAGA
rnacentral:snRNA from 1 species